rnacentral:tRNA from 1 species
GGGGAUGUAGCUCAGUGGUAGAGCAUUUGCCUAACAUGCAUAAGGUCCCGAGUUCUAUCCCUA